UCCUGCUCUCCAUAGAAUGUGAAGCAAAUCAUAAGUUGCUUGUUGGCAUAUCUCUUUAGUAACAGCCGCUAUCAAAAGAUCAUCCAUGUAUUGAAGCAAUACACAUUCUCCUGGGAUGGACUUGAAAUCUUGCAAAUCCUGGCUUAAUGCAGAUCCAAAUAGGGUAGGUGAAUUCUUGAACCCUUGAGGUAGUCUGGUCCAGGUCAUCUGACGCUCUGAACCUGUAACAGCAU